AACACGGUCAUAGGAUUUCAAUUCUUUAACUACAACCAAAACGCCAAAUCAAAAGGAAAGAAAACCAAACCAAACGAACUUACAAACUUACCAAAACGAAUGAAGAACAACCGGAACACCGAACCCCAAUGAUUAGAACAAUCAAUUUGUUGAACAUAAUAGAGAGAAAAGGCAUAGGAAUUCGCAAAGGAAAGGAAGAGGAAGAGAAGAAACCAAACGUUAGAAAAGAAAAUUUGAAAAAAGAAAAGAAAAAAUUAAAAAUUAAAAUUAAAAUUAAAUUAAAAGAAUAUCCCAACACUUCAUUAACUAACAAAUCCCACUAAACCGACCCACUGACUCCCAACCACUACCACAGACUUCCAAUCCCACCAAACUUCUACUACAUAAAAGGGCACACUUACAGAA
rnacentral:lncRNA from 1 species